rnacentral:rRNA from 1 species
UCUGGUUGAUCCUGCCAGUAGUCAUAUGCUUGUCUCAAAGAUUAAGCCAUGCAUGUCUAGGUAUAAAUAGUAUACAGUGAAACUGCGAAUGGCUCAUUAAAACAGUUAUAGUUUAUUUGAUAAUUGACAAUUACAUGGAUAACCGUGGUAAUUCUAGAGCUAAUACAUGCUUAAACGCCCGACUUUAUGGAAGGGUGGUAUUUAUUAGACUGAAGCCAAUAUUCCUUGUGUCUAUUGCGGUGAUUCAUAAUAACUGAUCGAAUCUCUUUUUGAGAUAAAUCAUUCAAGUUUCUGCCCUAUCAGCUUUCGAUGGUAGUGUAUUGGACUACCAUGGCAGUAACGGGUAACGAAGAAUUAGGGUUCGAUUUCGGAGAGGGAGCAUGAGAAACGGCUACCACAUCUAAGGAAGGCAGCAGGCGCGUAAAUUACCCAAUCCUGACUCAGGGAGGUAGUGACAAGAAAUAGCAAACCGGGAACCUCAUGGUUUCACGGUAUUGCAAUGAGAACAAUUUAAAACCCUUAGCGAGAAUCAAGUGGAGGACAAGUCUGGUGCCAGCACCCGCGGUAAUUCCAGCUCCACUAGCGUAUAUUAAAGUUGUUGCAGUUAAAAAGCUCGUAGUUGAACCUCUGUCUGGGGCUAGUUUUGGCUUUGGUCAGGCUAGUUCUAGGCAUCCGCCCACAAGACUUAGAGGGCAUUCAGUUGUUCACUAGGAGGAGUAGGCAUUUUACUUUGAAAAAAUUAGAGUGUUUAAGGCAGGCAAUCGCCCGCAUAUAUUAGCAUGGAAUAAUAGAAUAGGACACUUUUCCAUUUCGUUGGUUAUUGGAAUCGUGUAAUGAUUAAUAGGGACAGUUGUGGGCAUUUGUAUUUAAUUGUCAGAGGUGAAAUUCUUGGAUUUAUUAAAGACAAACUAACGCGAAAGCAUUUGCCAAGGAUGUUUUCAUUAAUCAAGAACGAAAGUUAGGGGAUCAAAGACGAUCAGAUACCGUCCUAGUCUUAACUAUAAACUAUUCCGACUCAAUGUUUGACUGGCUUAUAUAACCAGUUGAGCGUUGUAUGAGAAAUCAAAGUCUUUAGGUUCUGGGGGGAGUAUGGUUGCAAAGCUGAAACUUAAAGGAAUUGACGGAAGAGCACAACCAGGAGUGGAUUCUGCGGCUUAAUUUGACUCAACACGGGGAAACUUACCAGGUUAAAACAAUAGUGGGAUUGACAGUUUGAGAGCGCUUUCUUGAUUGGUUGGGUGGUGGUGCAUGGCCGUUCUUAGUUGGUGGAGUGAUUUGUCUGCUUAAUUGCGUUAACGAACGAGACCUUAACCUGCUUACUAGACUGGCGAUCAUCAAUCGUUAGC